AGAGGUGGCAGAUGAACUAAAUAGAGGUCACUCCCACAGGCUUCGUUAGACAUAUAGCAGAGAAGAAAAUCAUUUCCCCCUUCACAUCUACUUAGCAGGCUCAAGAAUUAAGCAGGAGCAACUACUCUAAAAAAAAUGAAUAAGAAAAAUCCCAACGGCCGCCGUGAGAUAAUAACCCAUGAUGCUGAUGGCUUAAAACAUUUUUGGGAGAAAAAAAUAGAAAAUCAAACAACAGAAUACAAAUCUGAACACGAGCGGAAAAAUAAAAGUGCCCUUUCAAAGCUACGUGGAGAAUGGACACAAAGGCUGGAAUACAGGCUCAGAAUGCUGCAGUCUUUCCACGAGGACCAAAAGAAGCAGCUUUAUGGAGAAGCCCAGCAGAACAAUGCAAAUACGGCAGCCUAAUAUCCACAAAUAUAAACACCAAAUCUUGACUUUUAUAUAAAACAUGUUUGUGCCCAAAAUAUAUAUUUUGCCAACUAUAGUCAGUCUGUAAAAAUGCAAUAAGCUAUAUAAAGUCUUUCAGAUGGCGUCAAGUACUGAUAAUCACCAUCUUCCAGUCAAAAUAUAACAGUUAAUCAUGGCUUACUGCAUAGAUUUUAUUUUAGAGCAGUAGAAGGUAAAUAGCACUUAGCUACAGGGAAAUAACAGGUGGAAACAUGGAGAAAUUUAAGCAGCAAUCUUUACCACACAGAGUGAAGAGAAGAUAUCUGAAAGAUCUAAGGGAGGUUGUGUAAUUACAGGAACAAUGUUUUUUUUUUUUUGGUGGAACCUAUAGUAACCAAUUAGAAGAUGUAAUUUACUGGCCUGCAGUUUAAAAACAAAAAUCUGAUAAGUUGCUACAGGUUUUGAGUCCUUGUUAUUACACUGACACUGGUCUAAUCAGCUGUUUGCAAUAAGAAAACGUAUCAGCAGCAGGUUGCAGAAAAGGUACAGUAGUUUGGGUCAUUAACAGUAGGUAGGUACUUGGCAGUGGCAAUGCAGAAUGUUAUACAGAAGAGUAACGUGAAAUGAAAACUGUUAUUUUUCACUAAAGUGGAAAACUGGUAUAAAUAUAGGAAAGAAAAGCAAUGCAUUACAAUUUAGCAAGGUAAUACUGCUUAGACUGUAAGCUCUUCUGGGCAAGGAACUCCUUGGUAGUUUGCAACGAAUAAAAAUAUACAUUAUUGUUCUUUCUUAAAUAAAUUGUAUAUUUUAGCCUGCUUCUCUUUCUUGGAAAGCACUGUGUAUUGCAUAAAUAAACUCAUAUGUUAUUGUUGA